rnacentral:rRNA from 1 species
CCUACGGGAGGCAGCAGUGAGGAAUAUUGGUCAAUGGACGAGAGUCUGAACCAGCCAAGUAGCGUGAAGGAUGACUGCCCUAUGGGUUGUAAACUUCUUUUAUAUGGGAAUAAAAUGUUCCACGUGUGGGAUUUUGUAUGUACCAUAUGAAUAAGGAUCGGCUAACUCCGUUCCAGCAGCCGCGGUAAUACGGAGGAUCCGAGCGUUAUCCGGAUUUAUUGGGUUUAAAGGGAGCGUAGGUGGAUUGUUAAGUCAGUUGUGAAAGUUUGCGGCUCAACCGUAAAAUUGCAGUUGAAACUGGCAGUCUAGAGUACAGUAGAGGUAGGCGGAAUUCGUGGUGUAGCGGUGAAAUGCUUAGAUAUCACGAAGAACUCCGAUGGCGAAGGCAGCUCACUGGACUGCAACUGACACUGAGGCUCGAAAGUGUGGGUAUCAAACAGGAUUAGAUACCCCGGUAGUC